UUAUAUAUAUCCUGAAAAAUUUUGUAUGAUGAAAACUAUCGUAUUUUCUCUAUAUAAGAAUCUACAACUCUAUUAGUGAUUUACUAUCAAAUUAUCAUAGUGAAAACAUUUAUUUUCAAUCUUAUCCGUGGAUGUAGGCAUACUUAUCGAACCACGUUAUAUCUUAUGUCUUUUCUUAUUUGUGCUCUACUUUGGUGUGAUUAUAUGCAUUUUGGGGAUUAAUUUUUCAAUAAGUAGUAUCAGAGCUAGAUUAAAGAGAGCCAAUAAGGAAAAAAAGGGUUGUUUAAAAAAGAAGGAAGGGAAGAAUAGAUGUGGCAUAUUUUCCUUCCAUCCCCAACCACAACCUAAAGGAGAAACCAGAGGCGGUGUCAGUGGCUGCUAAAUCAUGAGAAGCCAGAUCGACCGAUGACGAGGCAGAGGCAAGCGCAAACGACAACUUUAUCCGAAGAAGAAGAAUCAUGGGACAAUUUUUUCAAUUUUCGAUAAAAAAUUUAUGUUUUAGUUUUUUUUCCUUCUGUUCUAGCGAGUUCUCAGUUACAAGGAAGAUGCGUGGCGGCGGUUGACAAAGCCAAAUACUUAGCAUAAAGAUAAAGCCAAUUCCCAGUUCAGUUUCUGCACGUGUGGUUACUAGAUCUGCGUGCAGGGAAGAAAGCCAGAUGAAGCACGCGAUCCGAUUACACAGGUGCACGUUGACGCGAUAAUGAAUAAGGUGAACUAGAAAUGACGGCCGAUUAUAUGAAGUCGGAUUUAAGCUUUUCAGCAUUUAUGCAUGGUAGUGCGUGGUGGCGCGCAACAAUGUGUGGUGGUUUCUGUGAUAUCUCAAAUCUUUGCGCUUUAACAUAUGGUCAAAUUCUAUUAAUUUGGGCCUAAUAUCAUUUUAAUUUUUU
rnacentral:lncRNA from 1 species